CACGUAGGGCGCAAGCGUUGUCCGGAAUCAUUGGGCGUAAAGAGCGUGUAGGCGGUCCGGUAAGUCCGCUGUGAAAGUCGGGGGCUCAACCCUCGAAUGCCGGUGGAUACUGUCGGGCUAGAGUGCGGAAGAGGCGAGUGGAAUUCCUGGUGUAGCGGUGAAAGUGCGCAGAUAUCAGGAGGAACACCUAUUGCGAAGGCAGCUCGCUGGGACGUAACUGACGCUGAGACGCGAAAGCGUGGGGAGCAAACAGG
rnacentral:rRNA from 1 species